rnacentral:rRNA from 1 species
UAAUACGGAGGGUGCAAGCGUUAAUCGGAAUUACUGGGCGUAAAGGGUGCGUAGGUGGUUUGUUAAGUUAUCUGUGAAAUCCCCGGGCUCAACCUGGGCAUGCCAGAUAAGACUGAUAGGCUAGAGUAUAGGAGAGGGUAGUGGAAUUUCCGGUGUAGCGGUGAAAUGCGUAGAGAUCGGAAGGAACACCGGUGGCGAAGGCGGCUACCUGGCCUAAUACUGACACUGAGGCACGAAAGCGUGGGGAGCAAACAGG